UAUUCUACCCUACGGGGAAGGAUGAGAAGCUUCGACUAAGGUUCGACUCGAGCGUAGCGAGAGAACGUUGCCGCAGGCAACGGCCCGAAGGGCGAGGCGCUUUAGCGCCGAGUUAUCCUUCCCCCACCACCA
rnacentral:sRNA from 1 species